GACGAACGCUGGCGGCGUGCUUAACACAUGCAAGUCGAACGAUGAAGCUGGAGCUUGCUCUGGCGGAUUAGUGGCGAACGGGUGAGUAACACGUGAGAAAUCUGCCCUUGACUCUGGGAUAACUGCGGGAAACUGUAGCUAAUACCGGAUACUUUCCCUGGUGGGCAUCCACUGGGGAAGAAAGAAUUUCGGUCAAGGAUGAUCUCGCGGCCUAUCAGCUUGUUGGUGAGGUAAUGGCUCACCAAGGCGACGACGGGUAGCCGGCCUGAGAGGGGGACCGGCCACACUGGGACUGAGACACGGCCCAGACUCCUACGGGAGGCAGCAGUGGGGAAUAUUGCACAAUGGGCGCAAGCCUGAUGCAGCAACGCCGCGUGAGGAAUGAAGGCCUUCGGGUUGUAAACCUCUUUUAGCAGGGAAGAAGCGAAAGUGACGGUACCUGCGGAAAAAGCACCGGCUAACUACGUGCCAGCCGCCGCCGUAA
rnacentral:rRNA from 1 species